CCUACGGGUGUCAGCAGUAGGGAAUUUUGCGCAAUGGGGGAAACCCUGACGCAGCAACGCCGCGUGAUCGAUGAAGCCCUUCGGGGUGUAAAGAUCUGUCAGUGGGGACAAACCCUACCGUUACCCACAGCGGAAGCCCCGGCUAACACCGUGCCAGCAGCCUCGUUACUCGGGGGGGUGCAAGCGUUUUCCGGAAUCAUUGGGCGUAAAGAGUUCGUAGGUGGCACGUUAAGUCUGGUGUUAAAGGCGGAAGCUCAACUUCCGUAGGGCACUGGAUACUGGCGAGCUGGAAUGCGGUAGAGGUAAAGGGAAUUCCUGGUGUAGCGGUGAAAUGCGUAGAUAGCAGGAGGAACAUCGGUGGCGUAAGCGCUUUACUGGGCCGUAAUUGACACUGAGGAACGAAAGCCGGGGUAGCAAAUGGGAUUAGAUACCCUAGUAGUC
rnacentral:rRNA from 1 species